AAACCAUGAUGUGGGCACCUUUGAAGCAACUCCUUAUACCUCUCCCAUGCUUCGUACAAAGACUCAGAAUCUAAUUGCAUGGAAGAAGUAAUAUCGUUUCUCAUCUU
rnacentral:snoRNA from 1 species